rnacentral:rRNA from 1 species
CCUACGGGUGGCAGCAGUGAGGAAUAUUGGUCAAUGGACGAAAGUCUGAACCAGCCAAGCAGCGUGAAGGAUGACGGCGCUAUGGGUUGUAAACUUCUUUUGUAAGGGGAUAAAAUCAGGCUCGAGUGGCUGACUGAGGGUACCUGAUGAAUAAGGAUCGGCUAACUCCGUGCCAGCAGCCGCGGUAAUACGGAGGAUCCGAGCGUUAUCCGGAUUUAUUGGGUUUAAAGGGUGCGUAGGUGGGUUGUUAAGUCAGCGGUGAAAGGUCGGGGCUCAACCCCCGAAGUGCCGUUAAAACUGGCGGUCUUGAGUAGAGUAGAGGUAGGCGGAAUGCGCGGUGUAGCGGUGAAAUGCUUAGAUAUUGCGCAGAACUCCGAUUGCGAAGGCAGCAUACCGGACUCUAUCUGACGCUGAGGCACGAAAGCGUGGGUAUCAAACAGGAUUAGAUACCCUUGUAGUC